GUAGGGAAUAUUGGACAAUGGGGGCAACCCUGAUCCAGCGACGCCGCGUGAGUGACGAAGGCCUUCGGGUCGUAAAGCUCUGUUGCAAGGGAAAAACAAAAUGAUGGUACCUUGCUAGAAAGGAUCGGCUAACUUCGUGCCAGCAGCCGCGGUAAGACGAGGGAUCCUAGCGUUGUUCGGAAUUAUUGGGCGUAAAGCGGGUGUAGGUGGCUUUGUAAGUCAGGUGUGAAAGCCUGGGGCUUAACCCCAGAAGUGCAUUUGAUACUGCGAAGCUUGAGUGCUGGAGAGGCUACUAGAAUUCUUGGUGUAGUGGUGAAAUACGUAGAUAUCAAGAGGAAUACCGGAGGCGAAGGCGGGUAGCUGGCCAGACACUGACACUCAGACCCGAAAGCGUGGGGAUCAAACAGGAUUAGAUACCCUGGUAGUCC
rnacentral:rRNA from 1 species